CUAGUAACUGCGAGUGAAGCGGGAAAAGCUCAAAUUUAAAAUCUGGUAGUCUCUGGCUGCCCGAGUUGUAAUCUAGAGAAGCGUUAUCCGCGCUGGACCGUGUAUAAGUCUCCUGGAAUGGAGCGUCAUAGAGGGUGAGAAUCCCGUCUUUGACACGGACUACCAGGGCUUUGUGAUGCGCUCUCAAAGAGUCGAGUUGUUUGGGAAUGCAGCUCUAAAUGGGUGGUAAAUUCCAUCUAAAGCUAAAUAUUGGCGAGAGACCGAUAGCGAACAAGUACCGUGAGGGAAAGAUGAAAAGAACUUUGGAAAGAGAGUUAAACAGUACGUGAAAUUGUUGAAAGGGAAACGCUUGAAGUCAGUCGCGUUGGCUAGGAAUCAGCCUUGCUUUUGCUUGGUGUACUUCCUUGUUGACGGGUCAGCAUCAAUUUUGACCGGUGGAAAAAGGCUAGUGGAAUGUGGCAUCUUCGGAUGUGUUAUAGCUGCUAGUUGUAUACAUCGGUUGGGAUUGAGGAACUCAGCACGCCGAAAGGUCGGGGUUCGCCCACGUUCGUGCUUAGGAUGCUGGCAUAAUGGCUUUAAUCGACCCGUCUUGAAACACGGACCAAGGAGUCUAACAUGCCUGCGAGUGUUUGGGUGGAAAACCCGAGCGCGUAAUGAAAGUGAAAGUUGAGAUCCCUGUCGUGGGGAGCAUCGACGCCCGGACCAGACCUUCUGUGACGGCUCCGCGGUAGAGCAUGUAUGUUGGGACCCGAAAGAUGGUGAACUAUGCCUGAAUAGGGUGAAG
rnacentral:rRNA from 1 species